UGGGGAAUAUUGCACAAUGGGCGCAAGCCUGAUGCAGCCAUGCCGCGUGUGUGAAGAAGGCCUUCGGGUUGUAAAGCACUUUCAGCGGGGAGGAAGGCGAUAAGGUUAAUAACCUUGUCGAUUGACGUUACCCGCAGAAGAAGCACCGGCUAACUCCGUGCCAGCAGCCGCGGUAAUACGGAGGGUGCAAGCGUUAAUCGGAAUUACUGGGCGUAAAGCGCACGCAGGCGGUCUGUCAAGUCGGAUGUGAAAUCCCCGGGCUCAACCUGGGAACUGCAAUCGAAACUGGCAGGCUAGGAUCUUGUAGAGGGGGGUAGAAUUCCAGGUGUAGCGGUGAAAUGCGUAGAAAUCUGGAGGAAUACCGGUGGCGAAGGCGGCCCCCUGGAAAAAGACUGACGCUCAGGUGCGAAAGCGUGGGGAGCAAACAGG
rnacentral:rRNA from 1 species